AGCUAGAAAAAUGGUACUUGGUCUGCAGUCUCCGCCGUCAGGUCCCUAAACUUUAAAGGACGUUGGAGACGUGGGGCUGGAGGUGGCACUCCAGGAGGCCUUCAUCUACGUCUCAGGAUAAGUUUCUCAGGAACCUCAGCUUUGUCCUCGCCGGGAACAUGGCCGGGAUUUGGCUUGUGAAAGAGGAUGCCUUGAUUUUCUCCCAGUUCAGCGUCUCGUGCAUGGCAAUGAUCCCUGUAGCAACUCCUGAUAUCAAAUGACUGCUGGAACCCUUC